rnacentral:tRNA from 1 species
GGCCCCCUAGCUCAGUUGGUUAGAGCGCUUGGAUCACACCCAAGAGGUCGCCCGUUCGAGUCGGGCGGGGGCCA